rnacentral:lncRNA from 7 species
GGCCAAUGGCAGCGCAGUGGCCAUGGUAACCUCUUAAUUUAUAGCAUAUCUAAAUUGGCUCCAGCCUUGUGCUUGGCACAGAGGGAAAAAAACAACGCGCCUCUAUUGUUGAGGGUGGCUUGUACCUGCGCCGCCAAUUUCAGGUGCGGCGGAGCUGCGACAACCGGCGGCGGCGAGGGACACCGGGACACCGGGCUUCGGAGCUGGGGUGGUCCUCCCGUUUCUCCCUUCCCCGCGGCCGCCCCUCUAUAUCCUCGCUCUUUCUCCGCAUCGGGGAGGAAGGACCACAGCGGCCGGGCUGAAAGAAUCUCAGUAGCGGCCAAAAAAGAAACCUCAAAUCCGCAGGAAAAGGGCAUCGUCGGGCAGGGGAAGGAGGACUGGGCAACGCGUAGAGGAGCGGCGUCGCUUAUACAAGAUGUUGAUGGAAUUUACUAUAUAAAAAAAUCCCCUUUCAAGAAUAAAGUGUAUCAACUUACAGCACAACAAGCGACAGAGGGAUAAGUGAAACAGACAAAAGACAAACAAGAUAAUAAUCUGUUUCCAAUCAGUUAAGCCCUGUAGAAUUUGUAAUACGCGGUUCGCAUAUUCCCCCUGUGUUUUGUAAUUAAUUAUCUAUCUGUUGGGAUGCUCCGCCGACGACUUUGUUGAUAUUUCCAACUAGUUUUGGUGGAGUCGCCGGGGAGCGCGGAACAGCGCGGAGAGCGGGGCCGGGAGCCGAGCCCGAUCCGCGCCCAUCCGCGGGGCUGUGCAGAGCUGUGCGGGGCUCCCGCCGCUCGCGCCCCCCCUCACCCCCUCCCGCUCACCCGGCAAAAGCGGGACAGUACGGUUUUAACAUUAAACAAACCCAGC